UCCUCAGCAAGGAAGCAGACGAGCGGAGCUGUUUCUAUUUCAGAAAGUACCCCCCAUAGACAGAUAGAGUCUGAGAGAUAGAUAGAUAGAUAGAUAGAUAGAUAGAUAGAUAGAUAGAUAGAUAGAUAGAUAGGUAGGUAGGUAGGUAGAUAGAUAGAUAGAUAGAUAGAUAGAUAGAUAGAUAGAUAGAUAGAUAGAUAGAUAGAUAGGGCCCUACUUAGACAUCUGAAAGAAAAGGUUUGAUUUGGCCAAUGGGUCUUUUUUAUUUUGUUUUUGUUUUUGUUCAAGGCCACACUCAAAUCAAGUCAUUGUCCAAUCCACUGUGUCCAUAGACCCUUUCAGAGGGAAAGUGAACAUUCUCACAGGAUGUGGUCUGAGUAUCUCUCUGGAUAAACUCUUCUUCUGGUCACUCAAUCAAACAGCACUGUGUUGUACUGAAUUUAACUGAAUAACUGACAGGUUAACACCAUAAUAGCAGACUUCGUUUUGCUUGUUUGGUCUGGCUUUGUUCUUUCAUAUAACCCUAGAACUCAGAACCACACUGUAAGUGCUCAGAAAGGCAAUGCCUGUAGAAUAAAUAAACAAAUGCUUCCUGUCAGGACCUCCAA
rnacentral:lncRNA from 1 species